AUCAUCGACAACAAAACAACAAUAGCUACACGCCAACCACACGGGAAAAACCAAUGGAACAACGGCAGCAAUAUCCACGACGCCGAUCAAUGUUCGGACCACCUAAUAUUGGGCAAUUAGGUGGCUUUUUUGCCUCUCCUCUCGUUUCCAUCAACAUCGCCUCAAUCCCUUUAUCUUCUUAGCUUUUUUCUGAAAAAACAGAGACUCAAAAGACCCUUUUUUUCUCCAUGGCAGACCUCUGAAAGGUGAAAUAUAUGAGCACUCAAUGGUCUUUGGAGUUUUGUUCCUUUGAUUCAACAAACAAAUAGUGGUUCCCCUUGAAGAACUCAAAUCAUCAAAAUCCAAGUCUCAAUCUUUCAAAUCUUUUCUGAAAAAAAGUGAUUUUCUUUUCCCCAAUGCUCUAAACCCGUCACUCAGUUUGAAAUUUUUAAAGCUUCAGAGAGAUGCUAUGACAGCCCAAUUUUUUGGCAUAUAAAAGGGGGGUUUUCCACCCCUUUAAGGAUAAGGUUAAGUGUGGUAGAGAAAUUAGGAAAUUUUGGAGUUUUCAUCACUCUUUUACUCACUGCUUUCUCUAUUUUCUUUGCUUUAUUUUUCUUUGUUCCGAUUUACUCACGCCACCCUCGCUGUUACUUUCCGUCGGUCAAACAAGUGUUGGAGUUAGUGCUGGAAUUGCUCUCCAGCUUGUCUUCUUAGUUCGCUGCCCCGAAAAAAGUUAAACACUACCUCCAUCGAGUCAAAGCCUCAAUCAAAUCCACAAACGAGCGGGUAUACAAUCCGUAUACAGUUAUAUGCAGCUGGUAUACAUUGGAAGCAACAACUGCACACUAUUAUGCUGUGCACAAUAAAAAAUGGAGGGGAAACAAGCAGUUUACGAAGCUGAUAUACGUUGUAUAUUCCAACGGUAAACAGAAAAACGCAGUGAAAGGAGCUGCUGAUAUACAACAGAUAUACAGGGGCAAAAAAUGGGCUAAAGUCUAUGGAAUUGGUCCAAAAUUGGACAGAUUUUUAAUGGGCCAAAAGGGGCUCAAUUUUCACUCUUCUCUAUUUAAUUAAUUAUGGAAAAAUUGCAGUUUAUAGAUAAAAAUCUUUUAUGAUUACAUGGUAUGGGUAAUGUUUUAAAUAAUUACAAUUCAUGAGUAAUUGUUAGUUAAAAUUUUGUUCUA